rnacentral:piRNA from 1 species
UGAGGUGAGGGUUGUAGUAGAUGCUU